rnacentral:rRNA from 1 species
GAUUGAACGCUGGCGGCAGGCCUAACACAUGCAAGUCGAGCGGAUGAAGGGAGCUUGCUCCUGGAUUCAGCGGCGGACGGGUGAGUAAUGCCUAGGAAUCUGCCUGGUAGUGGGGGAUAACGUCCGGAAACGGGCGCUAAUACCGCAUACGUCCUGAGGGAGAAAGUGGGGGAUCUUCGGACCUCACGCUAUCAGAUGAGCCUAGGUCGGAUUAGCUAGUUGGUGGGGUAAAGGCCUACCAAGGCGACGAUCCGUAACUGGUCUGAGAGGAUGAUCAGUCACACUGGAACUGAGACACGGUCCAGACUCCUACGGGAGGCAGCAGUGGGGAAUAUUGGACAAUGGGCGAAAGCCUGAUCCAGCCAUGCCGCGUGUUUGAAGAAGGUCUUCGGAUUGUAAAGCACUUUAAGUUGGGAGGAAGGGCAGUAAGUUAAUACCUUGCUGUUUUGACGUUACCAACAGAAUAAGCACCGGCUAACUUCGUG